rnacentral:piRNA from 1 species
UAGAAAGGCUACAGGCAAAAGCAGAGGUGU